rnacentral:rRNA from 1 species
UACGUAGGGUGCGAGCGUUAAUCGGAAUUACUGGGCGUAAAGGGUGCGCAGGCGGUUCUGCAAGUCAGGCGUGAAAGCCCCGGGCUUAACCUGGGAAUGGCGCUUGAAACUACAGGACUGGAGUAUGGCAGAGGGAAGUGGAAUUCCACGUGUAGCGGUGAAAUGCGUAGAGAUGUGGAGGAACACCGAUGGCGAAGGCAGCCUCCUGGGCCAAUACUGACGCUCAUGCACGAAAGCGUGGGGAGCAAACAGG